ensembl:lncRNA
GAGAGAAGUGGAGGCUGAGGAGGUAGCCUGCAACAGAACUGGGGUAUUGGGCUUGGAGACCUUGGAGCAAGAGGUGGAGAUCUGCAGUUACCCUACCUGCUUCUCUCUGUAUUUGCUUUUUAACCAAAGCUGUUAAUUGAAGCAGAAAGUCCUGUAGGAAGAGAGACUGAAUCUGCUCAGAAACAGUUGUAUGGCAAGGGUAAUGGCACCUGUGGGCUCUUGGUUUUAUUUGUGAAUGUUAAAUGUAUUUGUGAUUGGAAAUGGUGUUGGGAGUACAAGCCUGCAACUUUCCCAAUAAUAAUGUCAUUGGCACAUCAGGGCACACGGUGCAGGGGCAGGUUUCGAAGCUGAAUAUGAAGGAGAGCUCAGUGAUCUACAGCGACUGGUUUGGUCUGUGAACAUCUGUGAUUCCUCCUGGUGGCAAGGUCACAGGUGCUGCGAUACACCGUGGUUUGUUGUCUGCAUUCCUGGUGGAAGGAGUUACUAAGUUUCAAUUAGAGGUUAGUGAGAGUGUGGCUUUUUCUCCCUGGAGUUCAGAGUUCUGUGGGGCUGAAAGUGACACCUGUGUCAGCCAAGGCCAGGGCUUCUUAAAGUUUUCUAUUUUCAGCCUUUUAUCCCUUGGGAAAUUUUUGUGUGACCUUGGUAUGUAAAACAGUACAAAUCAAACAUGAACUGAUAAUAAAUCAUGUGGAAACUUAUUUUAAAGCAAUUCUUUGCUAUGUAGAUAUAAUUUUACCGUUUAUAAAAGAUGAAAGGAAAUCUGUACACUGAGGAGAUGACAUGCUUGCUUAUUUUUUGGUGCAGAAGGAAGCUUGGCUGAAUGUUACUAUAGCGUGCUGAGUGCCUUCUACAUUUUCACCCAUUUUGACUUUAUAAUUGUCAAUGCUAAGGAAGCCACUUCAAAUAAAUACAAAAUGGCAAAAAGCCUUCGACUGGAAAGAUGGCUCAGAGGUUAAGAACACUGUUAUUCCAGAGGACUGGCGUUCAAGUCCCAGCACCUACCUGGCAGCUCACAACUGUCUGUAACUCCAGUCCCAGCAGGUCUGGCAUCCUUACACACACACACACACACACACAC